rnacentral:rRNA from 1 species
CCUACGGGAGGCAGCAGUCGGGAAUAUUGCGCAAUGGAGGAAACUCUGACGCAGUGACGCCGCGUGCAGGAAGAAGGUUUUCGGAUUGUAAACUGCUUUAGACAGGGAAGAAAAAAGACAGUACCUGACUAAGAAGCCCCGGCUAACGACGUGCCAGCAGCCGCGGGAAUACGUAGGGGGCAAGCGUUAUCCGGAUUUACUGGGUGGAAAGGGAGCGUAGACGGCGAUGCAAGUCUGAAGUGAAAGGCGGGGGCCCAACCCCCGGAUUGCUUUGGAAACUGUAUGGCUGGAGUGCAGGAGAGGUAAGUGGAAUUCCUAGUGUAGCGGUGGAAUGCGGAGAUAUUAGGAGGAACACCAGUGGCGAAGGCGGCUUACUGGACUGUAACUGACGUUGAGGCUCGAAAGCGUGGGGAGCGAACAGGAUUAGAUACCCGAGUAGUC